CCUACGGGAGGCAGCAGUGGGGAAUAUUGCGCAAUGGGGGGAAACCCUGACGCAGCAACGCCGCGUGAGUGAGGAAGGACUUCGGUCUGUAAAGCUCUGUUAAUGUGGAAAAAAUGGUAGUUGGUCUAAUAGGCCGAUUAUUUGAUGGUACACAUAGAGGAAGCACCGGCUAACUUCGUGCCAGCAGCCGCGGUAAUACGAAGGGUGCAAGCGUUGUUCGGAUUUAUUGGGCGUAAAGCGCGCGUAGGCGGACCUGUAAGUCAGAUGUGAAAUCUCGGGGCUCAACCUCGAAACUGCGUCUGAAACUGCAGGUCUAGAAUCUCGGAGGGGGAAGGGAAUUUCGCAUGUAGGGGUAAAAUCCGUAGAUAUGCGAAGGAACACCAGAGGCGAAGGCGCCUUCCUGGACGAGUAUUGACGCUGAGGCGCGAAAGCGUGGGGAUCAAACAGGAUUAGAUACCCUGGUAGUCCACGCUGUAAACUAUGAACACUAGGUAUUGGAGGAUUUGACCCCUUCAGUGCCGUAGCUAACGCGUUAAGUGUUCCGCCUGGGAAGUACGGUCGCAAGACUAAAACUUAAAUGAAUUGACGG
rnacentral:rRNA from 1 species